UUGCCAUCAACUGACUUUGAUCAGGUAGCAUCGUCUGUUUACUUGGACUUAUAGAGAAAAGAUCCGACAUUUUGUAUUUACGUAGAAAUCAUCGGACACUCAUUCCCUUCCCUGACAUGACUGCGGAUGCUUGAACUUGAUUAAACUAAAGAAAAAACAAUAUUUCUAGAUGUCCUAAAGUGGCAUACACGUCAUAUCUUCUGGUACAAGUAACAAUACAGCUUUCAAAGAGGACAUCAUUUGUUGAUGAUACCGGUGAAUUAUAUUGAAGUUAUCACGUUGGUUGAAAUUGCUUACUUCCUUUUUUCUCUCUUUUACGCUCAUGUCAUUAUUGAACUGAAACGAAAGUCUGACGUAACACAACUAUAUAAAACUGCUGCUAACCAUUUGAAAUGGUCCUCUGUAAACAUCUGCUGUUUGUAUUGACAUGCGCUGUGAUGUGUUUAUGUGUUUCCGGCCAGUUUUCGCCGAGCCUGAUCAGUCAGUUGGUCAAUAACUUACAGUUGUUGAUUUCCGGGCCGAGUCCUGAGCCUGUAGAGGAGAAAAAGACUUCCAUUGUGCCUAUUGCAGCUCUCGCGACCUUUGUUGUUUUGUUGAGGUCGAGAGGGAACUUUAUCAGUCCUUACCAAUGAAGCAAAGAACGGAAACAGGAACUCGACUAAAAUCAAUAUAGACUGAAUGUGACAAAAUUGAUAUGUUUAUAAUUAUUCUUUGUCGUGUACAUGUCAUUUCAUCUAUAUUUUGACAUUUGCUUCCAUUGUAUAACAGCUAUUUACCAAAAUAAACUUAUUUGAAUAAUA